AAUGAAUUGCCUGACAAAAGGGUUACCUUGAUAGGGUAAAUUAUAUAAAAAAAAUUAUAUUCAUUA
rnacentral:tRNA from 1 species